rnacentral:rRNA from 1 species
GACGAACGCUGGUGGCGUGCCUAAUACAUGCAAGUCGAGCGGACCAAUAGGAGCUUGCUUCUGUUGGUUAGCGGCGGACGGGUGAGUAACACGUGGGCAACCUGCCUGUAAGACUGGGAUAACUUCGGGAAACCGGAGCUAAUACCGGAUAAUUCAUCCCCUCGCAUGAGGGGAUGCUGGAAGUCGGUUUACGCUGACACUUACAGAUGGGCCCGCGGCGCAUUAGCUAGUUGGUGAGGUAAUGGCUCACCAAGGCGACGAUGCGUAGCCGACCUGAGAGGGUGAUCGGCCACACUGGGACUGAGACACGGCCCGGACUCCUACGGGAGGCAGCAGUAGGGAAUCUUCCACAAUGGACGAAAGUCUGAUGGAGCAACGCCGCGUGAGCGAUGAAGGCCUUCGGGUCGUAAAGCUCUGUUGUUAGGGAAGAACAAGUAUCGGAGUAACUGCCGGUACCUUGACGGUACCUAACCAGAAAGCCACGGCUAACUACGUGCCAGCCGCCGCCGUAA